UCAAGAAACUUCCACAAUGGGCGAAAGCCUGAUGGAGCGACGUCGCGUGAUGGAUGAAGUGCUUCGGCACGUAAACAUCUUUUAUGUGGGAUGAAAUUAUUGACAGUACCACAUGAAUAAGGGGCUCCUAACUCUGUGCCAGCAGGAGCGGUAAUACAGAGGCCCCAAGCGUUAUCCGGAAUCACUGGGCGUAAAGGGUGUCGAGGCGGUUGUAUUAGUCGUUCGUAAAAUCUACGAGCUUAACUUGUAGGCGGCGAACGAAACGGUACGACUUGAGGUUUGGAGAGGUGCGUGGAACUCACGGUGUAGGGGUGAAAUCCGUUGAUAUCGUGGGGAACACCAAAGGCGAAGGCAGCGCACUGGCCAAAAUCUGACGCUCACACACGAAAGCUAGGGUAGCGAAGAGGAUUAGAUACCCACGUAGUCCCUGAGCGGGCUGGCAAGGCGCAU
rnacentral:rRNA from 1 species